rnacentral:rRNA from 1 species
UACGUAGGGUGCGAGCGUUAAUCGGAUUUACUGGGCGUAAAGCGGGCGCAGGAGGCCCGUUAAGACAGGUGUGAAAUCCCUGGGCUCAACCUAGGAAUUGCGCUUGUGACUGGCGGGCUCGAGUACGGUAGAGGGGGGUGGAAUUCCUGGUGUAGCAGUGAAAUGCGUAGAGAUCAGGAGGAACACCGAUGGCGAAGGCAGCCCCCUGGGCCUGUACUGACGCUCAUGCACGAAAGCGUGGGGAGCAAACAGG